UAACGCAUUAAGCGCCCCGCCUGGGGAGUACGGCCGCAAGGCUAAAACUCAAAGGAAUUGACGGGGGCCCGCACAAGCGGCGGAGCAUGCGGAUUAAUUCGAUGCAACGCGAAGAACCUUACCAAGGCUUGACAUAUACCGGUAACGGCCAGAAAUGGUCGCCCCGCAAGGUCGGUAUACAGGUGGUGCAUGGUUGUCGUCAGCUCGUGUCGUGAGAUGUUGGGUUAAGUCCCGCAACGAGCGCAACCCUCGUUCUAUGUUGCCAGCACGUGAUGGUGGGAACUCAUAGGAGACUGCCGGGGUCAACUCGGAGGAAGGUGGGGAUGACGUCAAAUCAUCAUGCCCCUUAUGUCUUGGGCUUCACGCAUGCUACAAUGGCCGGUACAAAGGGCUGCGAUACCGUAAGGUGGAGCGAAUCCCAAAAAGCCGGUCUCAGUUCGGAUUGAGGUCUGCAACUCGACCUCAUGAAGUCGGAGUCGCUAGUAAUCGCAGAUCAGCAACGCUGCGGUGAAUACGUUCCCGGGCCUUGUACACACCGCCCGUCAAGUCAUGAAAGUCGGUAACACCCGAAGCCAGUGGCCCAACCCUUGUGGAGGGAGCUGUCGAAGGUGGGAUCGGUGAUUAGGACUUUU
rnacentral:rRNA from 1 species